ensembl:ncRNA T16G1.16 ncRNA
GAACAUGCAUACAAGACGUGAUUUUAAGAACAAAACGAUUUGGGAGAUGUUCACCGUGGACCGUCCAAUCGGGUUCAACAAGAAUCACGCGACUCAUGAAACCCUG